GGACGAACGCUGGCGGCGUGCCUAAUACAUGCAAGUCGAACGAACUCUGGUAUUGAUUGGUGCUUGCAUCAUGAUUUACAUUUGAGUGAGUGGCGAACUGGUGAGUAACACGUGGGAAACCUGCCCAGAAGCGGGGGAUAACACCUGGAAACAGAUGCUAAUACCGCAUAACAACUUGGACCGCAUGGUCCGAGCUUGAAAGAUGGCUUCGGCUAUCACUUUUGGAUGGUCCCGCGGCGUAUUAGCUAGAUGGUGGGGUAACGGCUCACCAUGGCAAUGAUACGUAGCCGACCUGAGAGGGUAAUCGGCCACAUUGGGACUGAGACACGGCCCAAACUCCUACGGGAGGCAGCAGUAGGGAAUCUUCCACAAUGGACGAAAGUCUGAUGGAGCAACGCCGCGUGAGUGAAGAAGGGUUUCGGCUCGUAAAACUCUGUUGUUAAAGAAGAACAUAUCUGAGAGUAACUGUUCAGGUAUUGACGGUAUUUAACCAGAAAGCCACGGCUAACUACGUGCCAGCAGCCGCGGUAAUACGUAGGUGGCAAGCGUUGUCCGGAUUUAUUGGGCGUAAAGCGAGCGCAGGCGGUUUUUUAAGUCUGAUGUGAAAGCCUUCGGCUCAACCGAAGAAGUGCAUCGGAAACUGGGRAACUUGAGUGCAGAAGAGGACAGUGGAACUCCAUGUGUAGCGGUGAAAUGCGUAGAUAUAUGGAAGAACACCAGUGGCGAAGGCGGCUGUCUGGUCUGUAACUGACGCUGAGGCUCGAAAGUAUGGGUAGCAAACA
rnacentral:rRNA from 2 species